rnacentral:rRNA from 1 species
UACGAAGGGGGCUAGCGUUGCUCGGAAUUACUGGGCGUAAAGCGCACGUAGGCGGAUUGUUAAGUCGGGGGUGAAAUCCUGGAGCUCAACUCCAGAACUGCCUUCGAUACUGGCGAUCUCGAGUUCGGGAGAGGUGAGUGGAACUGCGAGUGUAGAGGUGAAAUUCGUAGAUAUUCGCAAGAACACCAGUGGCGAAGGCGGCUCACUGGCCCGAUACUGACACUGAGAGACGAAAGCUAGGGGAGCGAAUGGGAUUAG